AGUGUCUGGUGGGUAGUUUGACUGGGGCGGUCUCCUCCUAAAGAGUAACGGAGGAGCACGAAGGUUGGCUAAUCCUGGUCGGACAUCAGGAGGUUAGUGCAAUGGCAUAAGCCAGCUUGACUGCGAGCGUGACGGCGCGAGCAGGUGCGAAAGCAGGUCAUAGUGAUCCGGUGGUUCUGAAUGGAAGGGCCAUCGCUCAACGGAUAAAAGGUACUCCGGGGAUAACAGGCUGAUACCGCCCAAGAGUUCAUAUCGACGGCGGUGUUUGGCACCUCGAUGUCGGCUCAUCACAUCCUGGGGCUGAAGUAGGUCCCAAGGGUAUGGCUGUUCGCCAUUUAAAGUGGUACGCGAGCUGGGUUUAGAACGUCGUGAGACAGUUCGGUCCCUAUCUGCCGUGGGCGCUGGAGAAUUGAGGGGGGCUGCUCCUAGUACGAGAGGACCGGAGUGGACGCAUCACUGGUGUUCGGGUUGUCAUGCCAAUGGCACUGCCCGGUAGCUAAAUGCGGAAGAGAUAAGUGCUGAAAGCAUCUAAGCACGAAACUUGCCCCGAGAUGAGUUCUCCCUGACUCCUUGAGAGUCCUGAAGGAACGUUGAAGACGACGACGUUGAUAGGCCGGGUGUGUAAGCGCAGCGAUGCGUUGAGCUAACCGGUACUAAUGAACCGUGAGG
rnacentral:rRNA from 1 species